CUUUACCUCUAAAGGGUUAACAAAGUUCCCCAGGUAAAGGAAAAGGAGUGGGCACCUGACCAAAAAAGGCAAUGGGAGGGCUAGAACUUUUUAAAAUGGGGAAAAACAACCUUCCCUUUGUCUGUAUGUUGUGGUUCUCCGGGAAAGAGCGGAGACACAGAGCAGGAAUGCUGUAAGCAGCUUUAAAACCAGGUAUGAAAAAACAUCAAAUCAUACCUCAACCCUACUGAUCUGAAACUCCAAAUGUGCCCACGGUGCAGAAGCAGUGAAGGGUUGCAAGAGUUGCGUGGUUCACUUCUAACUGAGUGGGGGACUUGAGAAGACAAUCGUCCAGAUAAAGAAAUAUGAGGACUCCUUUUUUUCUGAGAUGUGCUAUUACAACUCCUAGCACCUUUGAGAAGACACGUGGUGCAGUGGAGAGGCCAAAUGGGAGGACUCUGUAUUGGUAGUGCUGUGUUCUCACGGCAAACCUGGGGAAACAUCGAUGGUCAGGGUGUUUGGAUGCCUAAGGAUUGGAGUGUGGCAUGUGAGUCCUUCAUGGAGUGAAGGAUCUCAUUGGUUGUAGAGGUGAAGAGCUUAUCUCCAUCAAAGGGGAGAUCUUUGACAGUAUUCUGUAUCUCCUUUUGAAAGGAGGAAGAAGCAAACCCUGAGGCCCACCGCAUGAUGACGGCUGUGGCUGUGGAUCUGACAACUGCGUCCGCAACAUCGAGGGCAGCUUGAAGAGCUGUCCAGGAGAUCAGUUGGCCCUCGGAUAACACUGCUUUAAACUGUUGUUGUUUACCCUCUGACACAUCAUCAACAAAUUGCAUUACUUUAGCAUAAUUUUUGUGGUCAUAUUUUGCUAAGAGCGCCGCAUAGUUUGCUACUUUAAAUUGCAAAGUGGAAGAAUAAUACACUUAGCGGCCGAAGGAGUCCAGUCUCUUGUUAUCUUUGUCAGAUGGGGUGGAUUGGAAGUGUUGGUAUUUAUUUUUCUGGUUGGCCAUGUUGACCACUAGCGAAUUAGGUGAGGGGUGCAUAAAUAGAAACUCAGAACCCUUAGAUGGGACAAAAUAUUUGCGAUCCAGUCUCUUGCUAGUGGGCGUUAUUGUGGCUGGGGUCUGCCAAAUAGUUUUAGCAGGUUCCAUAAUGGCCCCAUUGAUUGGUAGGGCUAUUUUGGAGGAGAUUGUAGCUUGCAAGAUGUCGGUAAGCUCAUGGUGUGUUUCAGGUGUCUCCUUCAGGGUAAUCUUCAGCUCCUCCACUACUCUUUUAAACAACUCUUGAAAAUGAGUGAGCUCAUCAAUAGUGGGAGGUGGUGGGGGUACCAUGGCAUCUUGUGGUAGUAUCACUGUAGAGGAGGUGUGCGGGGUAGUGUCCUCUGUAGGGGUGGCGGCCACUUCAGGUCUUAUCUGGGUUUCAGUGUAAGCUGGCAGUGGGGAGGGUCUGACAACUUUCCUCCUGGCAGCCCGCGGAGUGUGUUGUGGUGUAGGCCCAUGGACCCCAGUGUGGCGAUUGCCCAGGUGGGCGGGCAUAGGUGGUCCCAUCCAGGGAUUGCUAUACUAGUGAGGAUAGCCAUGAGGAUAUGGAGAAUGUGCUUUAAUGCAUCUCCCAGUUGCAGGUAAUGAACCUGGGAAGAAUACUCGAGAGGAAAACAUCUGUUCAUCAUAUUCUUCUUCCUCCUCCUCAUCCUCAUUGGAGAGGCUUGAUGUAGUAGGAGAGUAUUGAAGGUGCUGAAGGUCUCGGUGAUACACUAGUGCCGAGGAGACUCAGGGGAGUGGGACACCCUUAAUUUUUCUGGCUGUAAAAACUGAGGUGGAGCUGACUGACCAGGAGCUUGUGCCGGUGUAGAUGGCGGAGGCAGAGUCUGCUGGGGCAUCUGCUGAUGCACUGAAGGGUGUCCCGGGGGUGCAUGCUGCCUCAGAGGAGUAGGUGCCCCUGAGAUAGGUACUGUAAGGGAGGCUGGAGACCUCAGGAGGCUCGGUUCCGAGAGCGUCGGCUGCAAAAGCGAUUCCGCAUGAUCAAAGGACGGUGCCACGGCCACUGCCUGUGUUCUCGGCACCAUAGCAACAAUUGACACCAUAGUGACAGAGGUGGCCGAAGGAGAGCAGAAAGAGGUGGGCAACUGAAAGCCCUGCGCCUCGGCACCAGGUAGUGGGACAGCCGACUCACGGUCAGUCCUGAGGUGCCUGCCGAGUUAAAGGUACUGAGCCGCGGAGCGGCAGUUACCGGAAACAGGAGAGCCGGUUUUAACUUAUUCCCCGAGGAGCGGUCCCUGAGUGGGGAGGAAGCUGGCCUUUUUUUGCUUUGGCUUUGCCUCUGGAGAGUGUCACAGAGGUUUGCUGGCCAGGGUCAGAUGCAGGUCUGAGAGAGUUUUCCUGGAGGAGCAUUGUAAGUCUGAGCUCCCUGUCUUUGGGGGUCCAUGCUUUCAGUUUGGCAUCGUCGGUGCAUUUUUUGGGU